rnacentral:snRNA from 1 species
GGCACGAAGCGGAUAUCCA